rnacentral:rRNA from 1 species
AUGAGCUGGAACGUACGCGGCCUGAACUCGCCGACGAAGGGAGAAGCUGUUAGAGAAGUAGUUGCUGCACAUCGCGCGACCAUUCUGUGCAUGCAAGAGACCAAGAUAGAUGUUUGGUCGCCAGCCCUCGUCCGCGACAUUGGUGGCCCAACGCUGCAAGGAUGUGCGGUCAUGCCCGCCAUCGGCACCCGCGGUGGCAUUGCCAUUCUAUGGAACCGAGACCUAGUAGAUGUCGUCACCCACGCCGUUGGCCAAUUUGCAAUCACGGUCAGGAUCACCAUA